UGAGGAAUAUUGGUCAAUGGUCGGGAGACUGAACCAGCCAAGCCGCGUGAGGGAUGAAGGUACAGAGUAUCGUAAACCUCUUUUGUCAGGGAACAAAAGGCGCCACGUGUGGCGCUCCGAGUGUACCUGAAGAAAAAGCAUCGGCUAACUCCGUGCCAGCAGCCGCGGUAAUACGGAGGAUGCGAGCGUUAUCCGGAUUUAUUGGGUUUAAAGGGUGCGUAGGCGGCGAGUUAAGUCAGCGGUAAAAGCCCGGGGCUCAACCCCGGCCCGCCGUUGAAACUGGCUUGCUUGAGUUGGAGAGAAGUAGGCGGAAUGCGCGGUGUAGCGGUGAAAUGCUUAGAUAUCGCGCAGAACUCCGAUUGCGAAGGCAGCCUACCGGCUCCCAACUGACGCUGAAGCACGAAGGCGUGGGUAUCGAACAGGAUUAGAUACC
rnacentral:rRNA from 1 species